UUCCAGGGUCAGAGGUGCCCCAGAGUGAAUUCAUGAGACUGAAGCAGCCCUGGAACUGGUAAACGCUGAGGAUACUAGCCAGCACAGAAGAGACUGUCAGGUCUAACGGAGGCCCAAGCUGAACUUCAGCAGAGAAACCAGUAAGAAUUUUGCCAUGGAUAUCAGCAAAGGCGCUAAGGAUUUGAUCCCGAGAGAUGGUGAACAGCCACAACUCCUGCUGAAUUCAACUCCUCCGCGGAACAGCCCUUAAGGAGGAAUGGAAUUACCUGGGAUGGUCAAAAGGAGUUUAAGAGUCUGCAGAGAGACUGGGACAAUAACUCUGAAAGGUCUGAGCUCACCUCCCGCACCCUUCAGUACAAUGGGAUAGUAAGUCUAACACCUAAAGCUGACAGUUUGAAUGUCCUACCAGACGGCUAAACCUCCAGUUUCCUCCCUGACAACUUCUACGAUGCAGAUCUGCAUUCCCAAGACAUAAAUCUGCAGCAUACUGAAAACUGAUCAUGUGGAAACAGCGUAAAAUGAAUUGAAUCUCAACAUGACACAGCGGACACUCUGCUGAGUGUAUUAUUCAUUUCCAUAUUUAAUUCAUUACAUUUCUCCAUUUUUUUUUUCAAUUUACAUGGAGCUGCAACACAUUUUCCAGCCUGUUGUGCUGGAAAGCUGCAGAGCCCAGGGACCUUGCUGCUGAAUGUAAGACCUUCUUGUCAUAUUGUUCGUGGGCCUUUGUCCUCAGGAAACCAGAUAGAUCCCAGGUAGAUAACAUUGGGUUACUACCUAUUGCUAAGUGAAUGUAGAAGCAGGUAUUGGGAAGUAAAAGCAGGGUUUCUGGCAGCAGGGAGAAGGGCAGGAUUCUUGCCUGGAAUAAGAACCACGCUUACUGAACCUCCAGUCUGCAUUCCCCAGGUGGUCUGCCCUACUAGUUCU